UACGUAGGUGGCAAGCGUUGUCCGGAAUUAUUGGGCGUAAAGGAUGUGUAGGCGGCUUUUUAAGUGGGAUGUGAAAUCCCUGGGCUCAACCCAGGAUCUGCAUUCCAAACUGGAAAGCUAGAGUGCAGGAGAGGAAAGUGGAAUUCCCAGUGUAGCGGUGAAAUGCGUAGAGAUUGGGAGGAACACCAGUGGCGAAGGCGACUUUCUGGACUGUAACUGACGCUGAGGCAUGAAAGCGUGGGGAGCAAACAGGAUUAGAAACCCCAGUAGUCC
rnacentral:rRNA from 1 species